rnacentral:rRNA from 1 species
AUUGAACGCUGGCGGCAUGCUUUACACAUGCAAGUCGAACGGCAGCGCGGGCUUCGGCCUGGCGGCGAGUGGCGAACGGGUGAGUAAUACAUCGGAACGUGCCCCGUCGUGGGGGAGGGCUCGGCGAAAGCCGGAUUAAUACCGCAAACGACCUGAGGGUGAAAGCGGGGGAUCUUCGGACCUCGCGCUAUUGGAGCGGCCGAUGGCAGAUUAGCUAGUUGGUGGGGUAAAGGCCUACCAAGGCGACGAUCUGUAGCUGGUCUGAGAGGACGACCAGCCACACUGGAACUGAGACACGGCCCAGACUCCUACGGGAGGCAGCAGUGGGGAAUUUUGGACAAUGGGCGAAAGCCUGAUCCAGCAAUGCCGCGUGUGUGAUGAAGGCCUUCGGGUUGUAAAGCACUUUUGGCGGGAACGAAAAGGACUGUGCCAAUACCACGGUUCGAUGACGGUACCCGCAGAAUAAGCACCGGCUAACUACGUG